AUUUUUUAUUCUUUUGAUAUUUUGUAUUUUUUGCAAUCGGACCGGCUCCUGUUCCAACAUAUCGGUUGAGAUGUUUGCAGAGCAUCGUCUUGGGGACGAUUGGCUGAGAUAAGAGGAGUAAUCAGCCGUCAUCCGGGACCUCUCUGUGAUAAACCUCAUUAACCUAAUCACUGAGAGGCGGCGGAACUUGUGAGGCAAACAUGGAUAAAGAGAAUACAGCGAGGCUGUUUGAGCUGAGUUUUGAGGACUACCUGAUCCAGAAGGACUGUUCAGGUCUGGCCCUGAGGAUGCAGGAGGAGGGGCUAGAUCACGUACUGGUGAUCCGACUGGACAAGAUGGUAACCAAGGAGCUGGCUGAGGAGGGGUUCAUGAGCGCCACACUGCUGCUCAAGGCUUUAGGGCGCAUCUCGGAGAAGAAGGAAGACCUGCAUCAUCUGUUGGAGCACGGACUCGGACCGAAGGUGUUGUUCUGGUUUGAAACCGUCGGCGGACUCCUGGGUUCUGAGGGCUACCGAAACACCGGCCCUCUGCAGAACCUUGCCGAUGAGUUCUAUGACUACUUCCUGCUCCUCGGACAGCCUUCCCUUCACGGUAAGUAUUUUUUUUUUGUGUGAACGCAAUAUUAAUUUAUUACUAUAGUGUGUGUGUGUGUGUGUGUGUGUGUGUGUGUGUGUGUGUGUGUGUGUGUGUGUGUGUGUGUGUGUGUGUGUGUGUGUGUGUGUGUGUGUGUGUGUGUGUGUGUGUGUGUGUGUGUGUGUGUGUGUG
rnacentral:lncRNA from 1 species